rnacentral:rRNA from 1 species
AUGGCGCUGCCGGCGGAGAGGCGGGCGGAGGAGGCCGCGGGCGUCGGCGGGUGCCGGGCGCCGGCCGGCCAGGGCGGGCUGCCCGUCGGGUUCCGGUUCCGGCCCACCGACGAGGAGCUGCUGCUGCACUACCUGCGCCGCAAGGCCCUCUCCUGCCCCCUCCCCGCCGACAUCAUCCCCGUCGCCGACCUCGCGCGCCUCCACCCAUCGGACCUGCCAGGCGAGGCCGACGGCGAGCGCUACUUCUUCCACCUGCCGGCGACGGGGUGCUGGCGGAAGGGCGGCGGCGCGGGCAGGGCGGGCGGCAGCGGCGUGUGGAGGGCCUCCGGGAAGGAGCGGCUGGUCGUGGCGCCACGCUGCGGCCGGCCUAUCGGCGCCAAGCGGACGCUCGUCUUCUGCCGCCCAGGCGGCGCGCGCACCGGCUGGGCCAUGCACGAGUACCGCCUGCUCCCCGCCGGCCUCGCCGCCUACGCCACACCCAAGAGCCUCCACGCCGCCAAGGACUGGGUGGUCUGCCGCGUGUUCAAGAAGGCCACGCCAGCGCGCCACGGCACAGCGGGGCGGCGUAGGGGGGACGCCGACGCCGACAUGACACCGGCGUCACCGUCCCCGGCGUCCUCCUGCGUGACCGAGUCGGGCAUGGAGGAGGACGAUGAUGAGACCGCCUCUAACCUGGCGCGGCGAGAGGAUUAG